ACAUCCGCAUCUCACUGGGGAACGCAAAGGGAUGGAAGAGCCAGGAUGUUUCAUGGAGCAGUCCACAUGGGAAUUCUUGACAAGUCCUGAGUUCAGCAUGUUGAGACUCACUUGAUGUGACCUGCAGAGCUUUGAGAUUGGCCUGAUGCAAUGGGGAAUGGAGAAACAACAGACACACCCUCAGAAACAACAGACACACCCCACACUGGAAUCAGUGUGCCACGCACUCUGAUGGAGACACACCAGCAAGCAGUGCAAAAACUCAGCAGCAUAGUAAGGAGGUAUUCCGGAUCCUAUCUUCUCGUCAAUUUCGUGUGGUGGUUUAAAGGAAGACUCUCCCUGUAGGAUCAGGUGUUCAAGCACGGCGUCUGCCUAGGGUGCUGCUGUUUGGAAGUUUAUGGAGUUGGUAGGAGCUGGAGCCUUGCUUGGAGGAAGCACAUCACUGGUGGCCGGAUUUGAGAGUUUUUAGCCAUACCCUACUUCUGGUUUGCUUUCUCUGCUUCCCUUGUAUCACUGAGUCAUGAUUUUCGGCUCCCUGCUUCUGUUGCCAUGCCCUUCCCGCCAUUGUGGACAUCCCGCCCUCGGAAACUGUGGCAAAAAUAAACUCUUCCUUAAGUUGCUUUUGGUCAUGACCUUUUGUUACAGCAACAUAGAAGCUGCUACCUGUUCAUUUAUAAAGAACACUUCCCACCGAACGGCAGCUCUAAAUUUGCAUACCAUCAGCUUCCUCCGCCCUUCCUUUGUGGUUGUCCGAUCUGCCCUCACAUCCUG